AUCGUCAUUUCCUCUUCCUGUCCGGCUGAGGGGGCGGGGACGUGUGGGUAAGCGGAGUCGCUGGGUAAUGCGCCAUGUGAGGCGCGGUGGGACUGUCGUUCCUGGACCAACGCCGAGACUUCCUAAAUCCCUCCGGAAAGGGAUGCGUUGGGCCUGUGAUCUGGCGACUAGGAGGGUCAGGAGUCCCAGUAGAGGGAAUCACGGGAAAAGAAUGAAAGAGGGAGGCGAGCCUGGCACGGCUUCCUGGAGAAACAAACUAAGCUAACAAAUUUUUCGGAUCCUUUGUGCAGCUAAUUUUACAGUACUGUUUCAUACAUCUUAUUAUAUUUGGACAUCACGGCCUGUUGAGUGGUCUCCCUCUCUGCUGCAAGCUCUGCUGUAAUCCAGAGACACUCAAUUAUCUCUGUAGGAUAAUUUAUUCAUUCGAUUAACAUACAUUACUACUAACUUUUUAUAAACCAGUACUGUUCCAAGCACCGGAGAUACAUAGCUAUGAACGAAACAAAUAUCCCUGCUCAGGGAAUUCACAAUAGAGUGAGGGGAAAUAAGCGAAUAAACAAUGAAUCUCUUGUUCUGAGGGAAGCCAUGUACAUCAUUAGCAGUUCUAUAAAGAGGAUCACAUGGCAAGAAACUGAAACAUUCUGCCAGCUGCCCUGUGAAAGAACUUGGAAGUAGACCCUCCAGCCCUAAUCAAGUCUUCAGAGACUGUACUCAGCCAACAAUUGACUGCAACCUCAUAAGAGACCCUGAGCCAGACCGCCCAACGAGAAACUGUACUAUGGAAAUUAUGUUAGACAAAAAACAAAUGCAAGCAGUUUUCUUAUUCGAGUUCAAAAUGGGCUGCAAAGCAGCAGAGACAACUUGCAACAUCAAGAGUGCAUUUGGCCCAGGAACUGCUAAUGAACGUACAGUGCAGUGGUGGUUCAAGAAGUUUUGCAAAGGAUGGCCAGGCGCAGCAGCUCACACCUAUAAUCCCAGCACUUUGGGAGGCCAAGGCAUCCGGAUCACUUGAAGUCAGGAGUUCGAGGCCAGCCAGGCCAACAUGGUGAAACCCCAUCUCUACUAAAAAUAAAAAAAUUAGCUGGGCAUGGUGGCAUGCACCUGUAAUCCCAGCUACUCGGGAGGCUGAGGUGGGAGAAGCGCUUGAACCCAGGAGGCAGAGGUUGCAGUGAGCUGAGAUUGUGCCACUGCACUCCAGUGACAGAACAAGACUCCGUCUCAAUUUAAAAAGAAAGAAAGAAAGAAAGAAAGUUUUGCAAAGGAGCUGAGAGCCUUGAAGAUGAUGAGCAUAGUGACCGGCCAUGGGAAGUUGACAAUGACCAAUUGAGAGCAAUCAUUGAAGCUGAUCCUCUUAUAGCUACAUGAGAAGUUGCCUAAGAACUCAAUGUUGACCAUUCUAUCGUCACUCAGCAUUUGAAGCAAAUUGGAAAGGUAAAAAAGCUCGAUAAGUGGAUGCCUCAUGAGCCAACUGAAAAUAAAAAAAAUAUAUCGUUUUGAAGUGUUGUCUUCUCUUGUUCUACACAACAAUGAACCAUUUCUCGAUUGGAUUGAGAUGUGCUAUGAAAAGUAGAUUUUAUACAACAGCUGGCAAUGACCAGCUCAAUGGUUGGGCCCAGAAGAAGCUCCACAGCACUUCCCAAAGCACCAAAAACAGGUCAUGGUCACCGUUUGGUGGUCUGCUGCCAGUCUGAUCCACUACGGCUUUCCGAAUCCCAGUGAAACCAUUACAUCUGAGAAGUAUGCUUAGCAAAUCAAUGAGGCACUGAAAAGUGCAACACCUGCAGCUGACAGUGGUCAACAGAAAGGACCCAAUUCUUCUCCACAGCAACUACAAUGCCCGACUGCAUGUCGCACAACCAACCCUUCAAAAGUUGAACAAAUUGAUCUAUGAAGUUUUGCCUCAUCCACCAUAUUCAUCUGACCUGUGGCCAACCAACUACCACUUCUUCAAGCAUCUCAACAACUUUUUGCAGAGAAAACACUUCUACAACCAGCAGGAUGCAGAAAAUACUUUUUAAGAGUUUGGCGAAUCUGGAAGCACAGCUUCUUACACUACAGGAAUAAACGAACUUAUUUCUCAUUGGCAAAAAGGUGUUGAUUGUAAUGGUUCCUAUUUUGAUUAAUAAAAAU
ensembl:lncRNA CCDC15-DT CCDC15 divergent transcript